rnacentral:rRNA from 1 species
UAGGGAAUCUUCCGCAAUGGGCGCAAGCCUGACGGAGCAACGCCGCGUGAAUGACGAAGGCCUUCGGGUUGUAAAAUUCUGUCUUCUGUGAAGAACAAGCCUGUGAGUGGAAAGCUCAGGCCUUGACGGUAACAGAGGAGGAAGCCCCGGCUAACUACGUGCCAGCAGCCGCGGUAAUACGUAGGGGGCAAGCGUUGUCCGGAAUCACUGGGCGUAAGGCGCGCGCAGGCGGCCAUUUGCGUCCGGGGUGAAAGCCCAGAGCUCAACUCUGGGAUUGCCUUGGAUACGGGAUGGCUUGAGGAUCGGAGAGGCAAGGGGAAUUCCACGUGUAGCGGUGAAAUGCGUAGAGAUGUGGAGGAACACCUGUGGCGAAGGCGCCUUGCUGGCCGAUUUCUGACGCUGAGGCGCGAAAGCGUGGGGAGCGAAACAGGAUUAGAUACCCUGGUAGUCCACGCCGUAAACGAUGAGUGCUGGGUGUUGGGAGGUACCACCCG